rnacentral:lncRNA from 1 species
CCCCCCCAAAUUUCGAUAUUGGAAUCACUUUCCUUCUUCCUCGGGCCAGCCUUUGCUCUGUCCCCUCAGGUCAACUCAAGGUAGACAGUGUGGCGACUGGAGAGGUCGGGGAACAAGCUUUGUUUCAGCUAAGGGAAAAACAAGCGUUCACAGGAGUCCCCGGACACCUCCCACUCGGGAGAUAGUUAACGGGGGUCCUGCCAACCCUUCCCAUCCAACUUCCAUCUGAAAAGGAUUUUCUGCUAAAGUUGGGUCCAUGGCCAUCCAGCACCUAUAAGGCCGGCAGGAGCGUCUGCCCUCUACUCAGUUAAAGCCUGAAGUCGUUUCCUUUCGAUGGCGCUUAGGAGGCCCAAAAGAGGGGCGACAGAACAUGAUGUGACACGGGCCGGGCGCCCCCAGAAGCCCGGGAACAAACGUUUCUACUUUCCAGGUCCACUGGUGUUUGGUGUACCCAUGUGACUAAUUUGUCCAAAGAGAGAUUUCUGUGAAUAGACCAGAAGCCGACCUUUACAGUGUGUUUGGGUGCAGAUUCUAGAGGAUGUCUGUGUGCCUUUCUCCCCUUUCAAACGAUAGGGAAGAUAUACUGAGUCCUAUCUUCAGCUAGGGGAUGCCCUGGCCUCCUUCCUAUCUUCAAAGCCUGCAAGAGUGGGCUGAGUCCUUCUCACUCCACCCUCUUCUUUUGUGUACCUUUUCCACUUGUAAGGACCCUUGUAAUUGCAUUGGAUUCACCUGGAUAACCCAGACUGAUCUCCCUAUUUUAAGCAGGUAUCAAUAGGAAGUUUUCAGUCAACCACAAGGUCUCAUAAUCCUUCCUGGAACUAUUCUUGAAUAGUUUGCCGUCUGAAAUGUUGAGAGCUUGCCCCUUGGAUAACAUGCCCCUUGGAUAACAACCAAGUCAGUUCAUGAGCAAGCAGUGGCAAACACUGUGUCCCACCAGCUCCUGUCUGACUG